rnacentral:lncRNA from 1 species
UUUUUCCUAUUAUGAGUUUUCCUGAAGUUUCUCAUAAAGAUUUAAUGAGGCAAUAUAUGUGCAAUUAACAAGAAUGGUAUAUAUGUACUCUUUUCUCCAUAAACCGUUUUUUCCCAAUGGGUUUUUCGGAUGGAGUUUUUAAUGAGACAUAAUAUCGUGGUAAUUGCCCAAGGGGGAGUGUUGUAAAACAAACGGACUUUGGAAUAUAGAAAGAGGAGAAGGAGGAAUCCUAAUCCGUUUGCUAUCUGGGCACUUACCAAACUCUAGGACAUAUUCAGGAUAUAUAUUCAUGGGAGAUCCUUC